rnacentral:tRNA from 1 species
GCGGACGUAGCUCAGUUGGUAGAGCGCAACCUUGCCAAGGUUGAGGUCGCCAGUUCGAACCUGGUCGUCCGCUCGU